CACGUAGGGGGCGAGCGUUAUCCGGAUUCAUUGGGCGUAAAGCGCGCGCAGGCGGCCGCCUAAGCGGGACCUCUAACCUGGGGGCUCAACCCUCAGCCGGGUCCCGAACUGGGCGGCUCGGGUGCGGUAGAGGCAGGCGGAAUUCCCGGUGUAGCGGUGGAAUGCGCAGAUAUCGGGAAGAACACCGAUGGCGAAGGCAGCCUGCUGGGCCGCCACCGACGCUGAGGCGCGAAAGCUAGGGGAGC
rnacentral:rRNA from 1 species